GUUUAAAUAGCAAAGACAGUUAAUGCCAUAGAUUUAGGUUCUAUGAUCAGAGGUGCAAAUCCCCUUUUAAACU
rnacentral:tRNA from 1 species